rnacentral:rRNA from 1 species
CCUACGGGGGGCAGCAGUGGGGAAUAUUGGACAAUGGGGGCAACCCUGAUCCAGCCAUGCCGCGUGUGUGAAGAAGGCCCUCGGGUUGUAAAGCACUUUCAGUGAGGAAGAACGCCUGGUGGUUAAUACCCAUCAGGAAAGACAUCACUCACAGAAGAAGCACCGGCUAACUCCGUGCCAGCAGCCGCGGUAAUACGGAGGGUGCGAGCGUUAAUCGGAAUUACUGGGCGUAAAGCGCGCGUAGGUGGCUUGAUAAGCCGGUUGUGAAAGCCCCGGGCUCAACCUGGGAACGGCAUCCGGAACUGUCAAGCUAGAGUGCAGGAGAGGAAGGUAGAAUUCCCGGUGUAGCGGUGAAAUGCGUAGAGAUCGGGAGGAAUACCAGUGGCGAAGGCGGCCUUCUGGACUGACACUGACACUGAGGUGCGAAAGCGUGGGUAGCAAACAGGAUUAGAUACCCCAGUAGU